AAUACAACCCCUUCUCUUCUAAAAAUCUCCAGAAUCUCUCCUAAAGACACCUUACUUGAAGCUUUCGGCCGAGUUCGUUCCAAGGAGGGGUAUCAGACAAGAAUGCCUGAUGUCUCCUUACAUCUUUGUGCUUUGUAUAGAGAAAUUGGGUCAUCUUAUUCAUACGGUUGAAGGCAAAGUGUGGAAAUCAAUUGUUUUGGAUAAGAAUGGUCCUCCUUUAUCAUUUUUUUUUUUUUACUGAUGACUUGUUUUUGUUUGUUGAAGAAAAUAUUAAUCAGGCUAAAGUCUUAAAGAAUGUUCUCAACACUUUUGGAGCUGCCUCAGGACAUAAAGUCAACAGACUUAAAACUACUGUGUUUUUCUCUAGCAAUAUGGAUUCCGACCAUGCUAAUGUUAUCUGUAGUAUUCUUGGUUAUUGUCAGAGUGAGGAUUUGGGGAUUUACUUGGGACUACCUCUCUUUCACCGACGAAUAACAGUGAAUACUUUCAAAUUCAUUGUUGAUAAAGUUAGAUGAAAGCUGGAUAAUUGGAAUGCCAAAACGCUUUAUGUGGCGAAACGUUUAACUUUAGCUCGGUCAGUUUUAUUGUCGAUUCCUAAUUACUUUAUGCAAACUGUGAAAAUUCCGUCUAGUAUUUGUGCAGAAAUUGAGAAAAUCGUCCAAAAAUUUAUUUGGGGGAGUUUUGAAGUCUCUCAGAAAUCGGCUUUGAUAAAGUGGGGAGAUUGUUGUUAACCUUUACCUAAUGGGGGAUUAGGUAUCCAAAGAGUUCAGGAACAAAAUGAAUCUUUUUUUGCUUAAGUUGGGUUUUAAUCUCCUAACAAAAAAGCAAGUUUUGUGGGUAGGGUUCUCCGUUCUAAGUACAAGCUCUUGGACGAAUAUCUUGAAGACAUUUCUUGGAGCAACUGUUCUUUUGUCUGGAGAUCCUUUGCUAAGGAAGCAAAAUGGAAGAUUGUUUGGUCUUUAAAUGUAAGGGAUGUCUCUUUACAAAUGCGGAAAGGUGUACGAGAGGAUUAUCGGAAGACCCUUCUUGUAAGCUUUGUGGGAAUGCCGAAAAAUCUUGUAUCUAUGUUAUAUGAGAUUGUCCUAAGGCAAAAGAAAUGUGGAUUCAGUUUAUUCCCUCGAGAAUCUCAGAUCGAUUUUUCACUUACUCUUUGGAGGAUGGGUUGUCUACUAACUUGGUAAAUAAGUUUGAGGUUAAUUUUCAGGAUGCACAUUGGCCAUCCUUGUUUGGGAUUGUUUGUUGGAAAAUUUGGAAACAGAGGAAUGUGUACAUGUUCCAAUAUGGCCAUUACAACAUAGUCAAUUUGAUACAUUUUUCAUGAUUGUGGGCUAGGUCAAGUAAGCAAAGACAGAUAAAUUCGAAGAGGAGUAAUGAGAACCGAAAAAGGAACCAAAGAUGGGCCCCUCCACCUGUCAGUUUCUUUAAAAUAAAUACUGGUGGUGCUCGUAAUCUGAAUUUGAGUUCUGCAUGGUCAGCAUUAGUGGCACGAUAUGAGCAUAAUAAUUAGAUGUGGAGAAUAGAAAGAAGUAUUAAGAGAUGCAGUGUUUGGGUCAUCUAUGAUGGCCUCUAAUUAGCCUGUGAAGCUAAAUGGGCUAAUAUUAUUAUUGAGAUUGAUAGUGCGCAAGCCAUUAAAGGGGUUCAUGAAGAAAUUCGAGGAUAUUCUAACAGAGAUCUAAUUGUGCGAAUCCAAGAACUAUGCCAGCGUGAUUGAAGAGUACUCUUUAAACAAGUACCAAGAGAAAUGAACUCGACUUCUAAUAUUUUAGCUAGAUUGAUGAAAGGUUAUCCUAUGAUCAAUUGCAAAUAGACAGAUGAGUUAUGCUACCUUAACAUAGAUACCAUUGUUAGCUUGUAAUUGAAGCUUUUAUAUCUUGUCAAAAAGAAAAAAGACACCCUAGGUUCCUUGUGGUCACCGGUGCGAUCAACUUUGUGUUGGCUGUUGCCUGUUUUCUUUAUUUGGCUCUCAGUUUAUCUUUUUAUUUAAUUCAAGCCUCUCUCUUUCUUCAGCCUUUGACCAGUGAUCUAAGAGGCUUUUCUCCAACCGCCUUGUGGGGGUUCCCUCCUCUUUUGCCCAUGGUGUCAGGCUUGGUACUCUUGGCUUCUCAUUGAGAACCCUGAUCCUUUGUUUGGAUAGUGUCAUUACCACUUUGGCCCCAUUUUUAAUUGGAGCUUGGCAUUCACCGCACCUGCCUAUUUGUCUAGUAACUAAGGUUGCUUUAAUGGUUGCAGGUUCUUCUUCAAUCGUAGGUUCCCAACUAGUUCAUCGAUGGUUGACAGUAUUCUUUUGGAUGGUUGUCGCAACAUGAUCUCUUAACAGAAGAGUUCAUGUCGUCAGCAGGUGCAUCCUCCUUCCCCUCCGGCACUCUUUGGCACUCUCUUUUCCGAUGACGACGAUAGUGUAUAGAGAUUAAGGUUGUGGUCUUGUUAGGGCUGGGCUUUUCAAGCUCAUAAUUUCUCUUGACUAAAAUAUAAUGAUUCUUUAACAUUCUUCUCUUUGUAAUAACUAAAUAAAAACCUUAAUGUUAAAUUCUGCUAUUAGCCCUUAUACUUUGUAAAAGUUAUGAAUUUAGUUCCUAUAAUUUGAUCAACUUUUUAAUCUC